rnacentral:rRNA from 1 species
GACAGAGGCCUCGAGCGUUAGGCGGAAUCACUGGGCUUAAAGCGUGUGUAGGCGGGCCCGUAAGUGUCUUGUGAAAUCCCACGGCUCAACCGUGGAACUGCUGGGCAUACUGCGGGUCUUGGGCCAACUAGGGGCAGCCGGAACAAGCGGUGGAGCGGUGAAAUGCGUAGAUAUCGCUUGGAACGCCAAUGGUGAAAACAGGUCGCUGGGGAUGAGCUGACGCUGAGACACGAAAGCCAGGGGAGCAAACGGG